rnacentral:tRNA from 1 species
UAGGAUUUAGGUUAUAAAAACUAGUUGUCUUCAAAACAACAGAAACAUUAGUUCAGUGAAUGUAUUUCUAG